UCAAAGGAAUUGACGGGGGCCCGCACAAGCGGAGGAGCAUGUGGUUUAAUUCGAUGAUACGCGAGGAACCUUACCUGGGCUCGAACGUAAGAUGACUGUAGGUGAAAGCUUACAUCUCUUCGGAGCAUUUUACGAGGUGCUGCAUGGUUGUCGUCAGCUCGUGCCGUGAGGUGUCGGGUUAAGUCCCAUAACGAGCGCAACCCCUACCUUUAGUUGCCAUCAGGUUAAGCUGGGGACUCUAAAGGAACUGCCUACGCAAGUAGUGAGGAAGGCGGGGAUGACGUCAAAUCAGCACGGCCCUUACGUCCAGGGCUACACACGUGCUACAAUGGCCGAUACAGAGGGCAGCUACCUGGUGACAGGAUGCAAAUCUCCAAAGUCGGUCUCAGUUCGGAUCGGAGUCUGCAACCCGACUCCGUGAAGUUGGAUUCGCUAGUAAUCGCGCAUCAGCCAUGGCGCGGUGAAUACGUUCCCGGGCCUU
rnacentral:rRNA from 1 species